rnacentral:rRNA from 1 species
CCUACGUGAGGCAGCAGUGAGGAAUAUUGGUCAAUGGGCGCGAGCCUGAACCAGCCAAGCAGCGUGAAGGAUGACUGCCCUACGGGUUGUAAACUUCUUUUAUAAAGGAAUAAAGUGAGGCACGUGUGCCUUUUUGUGGGUACUUUAUGAAUAAGGAUCGGCUAACUCCGUGCCAGCAGCCGCGGUAAUACGGAGGAUCCGAGCGUUAUCCGGAUUUAUUGGGUUUAAAGGGAGCGUAGAUGGGUUGUUAAGUCAGUUGUGAAAGUUUGCGGCUCAACCGUAAAAUUGCAAUUGAUACUGGCAGUCUUGAGUUCAGUUGAGGUAGGCGGAAUUCGUGGUGUAGCGGUGAAAUGCUUAGAUAUCACGAAGAACUCCGAUUGCGAAGGCAGCUUACUAAACUGCCACUGACGUUGAUGCUCGAAAGUGUGGGUAUCAAACAGGAUUAGAUACCCCUGUAGUC